UACAGAGGUCCCGAGCGUUGUUCGGAUUCAUUGGGCGUAAAGGGUGCGUAGGCGGCUUUCUAAGUCUGAUGUGAAAUCCCGGGGCUCAACCCUGGAACUGCAUUGGAUACUGGGAGGCUAGAGUACUGGAGAGGAAACUGGAAUUUACGGUGUAGCAGUGAAAUGCGUAGAUAUCGUAAGGAAGACCAGUGGCGAAGGCGAGUUUCUGGACAGUUACUGACGCUGAGGCACGAAGGCCAGGGGAGCAAACGGG
rnacentral:rRNA from 1 species